GUCGAGAAUUUUUCUCAAUGGGGGAAACCCUGAAGGAGCGACGCCGCGUGGAGGAUGAAGGCUUUCGGGUUGUAAACUCCUGUCAUUUGGGAACAAGACCUUACGUUAACUGCGUGGAGGGUUGAUAGUACCAGAAGAGGAAGAGACGGCUAACUCUGUGCCAGCAGCCGCGGUAAUACAGAGGUCUCAAGCGUUGUUCGGAUUCAUUGGGCGUAAAGGGCGCGUAGGCGGCGAGGUAAGUCUGGUGUGAAAUCUAGGAGCUCAACUCCUAAACUGCACUGGAUACUGCUUUGCUUGAGGACUGGAGAGGAGAUUGGAAUUCACGGUGUAGCAGUGAAAUGCGUAGAUAUCGUGAGGAAGACCAGUGGCGAAGGCGGAUCUCUGGACAGUUCCUGACGCUGAGGCGCGAAGGCCAGGGGAGCAAACGGGAUUAGAAACCCUGGUAGUCC
rnacentral:rRNA from 1 species